rnacentral:rRNA from 1 species
UACGUAGGGUGCAAGCGUUGUCCGGAAUUAUUGGGCGUAAAGAGCGUGUAGGCGGCCGUACAGGUCAGCUGUGAAAACUCGAGGCUCAACCUCGAGACGUCGGUUGAAACCGUACGGCUAGAGUCCGGAAGAGGAGAGUGGAAUUCCCGGUGUAGCGGUGAAAUGCGCAGAUAUCGGGAAGAACACCCGUGGCGAAGGCGGCUCUCUGGGACGGUACUGACGCUGAGACGCGAAAGCGUGGGAGCGAACAGG